AAUAGAUACCCGGGUAGUCCACGCCGUAAACGAUGAGUGCUAAGUGUUAGGGGGUUUCCGCCCCUUAGUGCUGCAGCUAACGCAUUAAGCACUCCGCCUGGGGAGUACGGUCGCAAGACUGAAACUCAAAGGAAUUGACGGGGGCCCGCACAAGCGGUGGAGCAUGUGGUUUAAUUCGAAGCAACGCGAAGAACCUUACCAGGUCUUGACAUCCCAUUGACCACUAUGGAGACAUAGUUUUCCCUUCGGGGACAACGGUGACAGGUGGUGCAUGGUUGUCGUCAGCUCGUGUCGUGAGAUGUUGGGUUAAGUCCCGCAACGAGCGCAACCCUUGUUCUUAGUUGCCAUCAUUUAGUUGGGCACUCUAAGGAGACUGCCGGUGACAAACCGGAGGAAGGUGGGGAUGACGUCAAAUCAUCAUGCCCCUUAUGACCUGGGCUACACGCGUGCUACAAUGGACGGUACAAACGGUUGCCAACCCGCGAGGGGGAGCUAAUCCGAUAAAACCAUUCUCAGUUCGGAUUGUAGGCUGCAACUCGCCUACA
rnacentral:rRNA from 1 species